rnacentral:lncRNA from 1 species
CAAAUUUAUUAGCCAUCCACUCCAGGCCCAGUGCUUGCCAGGCACUGGUGAUACAGGGAAGCAAGCAGGUAUGUUCCCCACAAGCUCUCAAAGAAUACAAGAUGUCUUGGAAGGCUGCAGUAAUAAUGCAGACCUAGCUUAGUGAGCCAAGGAAGGCUUUCUGAAAGAAGUGGCUGAGAGGAUGGGUAGGUCCAGGAUCAUGUCUUUAGAAACUUGCUAAAAAACACUGGACCAGGUAUAGGUACACACAUAUAAUCCAGCGGCUCAGGAGGCUGAGGCAGGAGGAUUGCAGGUUCAAGGCCAGCAACUUGGUAAGGUCCUAAGCCACUUAGACCUUGUCUCAAAAUUAAAUAAAUAAAUAGGACUGGGGAUGUAGUUCAGUGGUAAAGUGACCCUGGGUUCAAUCCAGGGUCCCCCCACCUCCUUCCCCCAAAAAGCUUAAGGGCUGGUUAAUCACCUCAUUUGCAUUAUGUGGUUAGGAACCCUGACUCGCACAACUGAGCUCCAAACACACCUCCUGCAAGCAGUCACCUUAGCAACCUGGGGAUACACACAGCAGCAUGGAGGACCCUCACAAAGACAUCGGAAAAAAAGGGGCCUCAGUCCCUGGAAUCAGGUUUAGGAAGUGUGGGCAGGGAAUUUGAGGGGAAAUAAAUAAAAGGGGAAAUGUCCUCCUGGCUCCGUGGACUCCUCACCUGUGUGGAGGAUGCCUGGUGGAGGAUUGAAGCAGGGCCCUUCAAAGUGUGAGGCCAGGACAGGAGCCAUCGUCCUGGUGGGCCUGCCCUGGUAUUGGGCAUCAGGCUCCAAGGGCCCAGGCCUAGGCAUCAUGUCUCAUAGAUGGGUUUGGGCAAGCCCUGUACUCUAUACUUCUCCAGCCUUCCCAACAGACAUCUUUGUGGAGAAAUGGGAAAAGCCGUCUUUUCGUGGCCGUUUGAGAGUUCAAUGAGAUGAUGCAUGUGAAUGGGGGUUUGUAAACCAUGAAGUCUUUUCACAUGUCAUUUUUUAUGGUUUCUAAUUGUUGGAUUUAGAAGGCCUGGCUGUGAAUGAAUUUAGGUUCUGUGCUUUUUGAGCUUGGAAUCUUGCACAAACCACUAUAGAUCUCUAAACUUCUGUCAGCCCCACGUGGGCUGUGACUAACUGUGUUAGACCUUUAAAAAGAUGAUCUUUUUGCCCACAUCCCUGUUGAACAUCACCUAGCUUAAGAUAGACCAUUUCUCCACCACAGACAAGACCAUUUAGAAUUGUGCUUUUGUCCCCUACCCAGCCCAGUGCCACCCUCUGCCAAUCCGAGGAGCCCACCCUGUUGAUCCUGGCAUCCAGCAGCAAGACCAACCAUGGUCACACUCAGCCUCUUAGGCCUGCUUCUCUCCAAUAGGAGUCCAGCCUGUAAGGAAAAUUCACAUUAGCCAAAGAAAGGCAUAACGCUG